rnacentral:rRNA from 1 species
GACGAACGCUGGCGGUGUGCUUAACACAUGCAAGUCGAACGGUAAGGCCCUUUCGGGGGUACACUAGUGUCGAACGCGUGCGUAACACUUGAGUAACCUGCCCUCAUCUCUGGGAUAACAGUCGGUACCGGUUGCUAGUACUGUUUAUGAGCUUUCAAUUCAUCUUGUUGGUUGGAAAGAUUUUUGUGGUUUUGGAUCGACUCGUCGCGUAUAAGCUUGUUGGUGAGGUAGUGGCUCACCAAGGCUUCGACGGGGACCCGGCCUGAGAGGACGACCGGACACAGUGGGACUGAGAUACGGCCCAAACUACUACGGGAGGCAGCAGUGGGGAAUAUUGGACAAUGGACGGAAGUCUGAUGCAGCAACGCCGCGUGCGGGAUGAAGGCCGUCGGGAUGUAAAACGAUAUCAAUUGGGAAGAAGCUAUUUUGUGACGGUAGCAGUAGAAGAAGCAACGGCUAACUACGUG